rnacentral:lncRNA from 10 species
GCGAGCCACAGGCUAAACCGCGAUGGCGGAGCUUGCUCUAGCCCUUUUGACGUCAAUGGAUUUCGAUUAUUAGGCGGAUUCGUUCCCAGACAGCCACAGGGGACUCGCGCUUUUCUUUCAUGCCCGCUCUGCUUUUCCCUCCCUUCCUCCCAAUCUUCAUACGUGAUGAGAACAAUUCUCAUCUCCUCCACUCCAGCCUGGGCCUCCCUGCACCAGCCUCUCUCGGGAGGUCUCUCUGUCCUGGUCCGCACCUCCUCUGCUUCUGUGGGGCCUCUCCGUAUUUCUGCUUUUCACCCCUCCUCUCUCCCGCCCCACCGACCGAGGCCGAGGUGAGCGAGGGGAGCGCAAGCAGCAGUAGAGAAUCGGGUGAAGGCGGAGCCAAGAAGGGGAAGAGCCAUCACUAGAGCCCACGGGGCGUUCUGCUUGCUUCCCCUGGGACCCACGCGGCUCAGGCCCAGGGAGUCGCGGACCCGGGCGUUUCCUGGGAUGCUGGGUCUGACGCCUGCGAGGGUCAGGACGGGGCGAAGGCCAUUCCGCUGCCCUUCCAGCUUCGGAAUCACCCAAUGCACGGGUUUCAACCGUAGCCAGCAAGAUGCGCCUCUCAGGUUUUCCGAGGCUUUAGAGCCUGCACAGUUGUUCUAAAAAAGGCGGUGGCUCCUCCUAACGUUGGAUGGGCUCUUGCUCUGCAUGGUGAUACCAGAAAGCAUGCCAUACCUAAGACCUACUACCCUGAGAAGCAGUGAAGUGCUCCUGGGGCCCACCAAGGCCACACAAGUCAAGGAGUGGAUGGCCUUGCUCCAGCUACUGCUCAGAUCACCUUUGCAAGAUGACAUUGUGUUGGGAGAUGGUCAUCAGAGCCAGGGCCAUGGAAGAUGCUGUCAGGAGGCACGAGGAAAGGCUAUGGGAGCACAAAGCAAGAAAGUGGCCUUCUGCAAGCCAGGAAGAGAGGCCUCCCCAGAAACCAACUCUGUGAGCUCAUCGAUCUUUGACUUUUGGCCUCCAGAACAUUGAGAAAAUAAAAGUCUGUUGUUAAACCACCCAACCUUUAGUAUCUUUCUAUGGCAGCCUCAGCUGACUAAUACCCUUGGACACAGGUGGAGGAAUUGGUAAUUUU